AUUGAACGCUGGCGGCAUGCUUUACACAUGCAAGUCGAACGGUAACAGGCCGCAAGGUGCUGACGAGUGGCGAACGGGUGAGUAAUGCAUCGGAACGUGCCCAGUCGUGGGGGAUAACGCAGCGAAAGCUGUGCUAAUACCGCAUACGAUCUAUGGAUGAAAGCGGGGGACCGUAAGGCCUCGCGCGAUUGGAGCGGCCGAUGUCAGAUGAGGUAGUUGGUGGGGUAAAGGCCUACCGAGCCGACGAUCUGUAGCUGGUCUGAGAGGACGACCAGCCACACUGGGACUGAGACACGGCCCAGACUCCUACGGGAGGCAGCAGUGGGGAAUUUUGGACAAUGGGCGCAAGCCUGAUCCAGCAAUGCCGCGUGCAGGAAGAAGGCCUUCGGGUUGUAAACUGCUUUUGUACGGAACGAAACGGCCUGGGUUAAUACCCUGGGCUAAUGACGGUACCGUAAGAAUAAGCACCGGCUAACUACGUGCCAGCAGCCGCCGUAAGAC
rnacentral:rRNA from 1 species